AUGCAAUGUCCGUCUUUAAAAUUCCUAAAAAGAUUUGUAAAGGAAUCAUUGACGCGAUGUCGCAUUUUUGGUGGGGUGAUGAAGACAAUCAGAAGAGAAUGCAUUGGAUGGCAUGGUGGAAGAUGUGUGUACCAAAAGACCAAGGAGGAAUGGGUUUUCGAGACAUACAUUGUUUCAAUCUGGCCUUAUUAG
rnacentral:rRNA from 1 species